rnacentral:rRNA from 1 species
GUAGGUGGCAAGCGUUGUCCGGAAUUAUUGGGCGUAAAGCGCGCGCAGGCGGUUCUUUAAGUCUGAUGUGAAAGCCCACGGCUCAACCGUGGAGGGUCAUUGGAAACUGGAGAACUUGAGUACAGAAGAGGAAAGCGGAAUUCCACGUGUAGCGGUGAAAUGCGUAGAGAUGUGGAGGAACACCAGUGGCGAAGGCGGCUUUCUGGUCUGUAACUGACGCUGAGGCGCGAAAGCGUGGGGAGCAAACAGGAUUAGAUACCCUGGUAGUCCACGCCGUAAACGAUGAGUGCUAAGUGUUAGGGGGGUUUUCCGCCCCCCUUAGUGCUGCAGCUAACGCAUUAAGCACUCCGCCUGGGAGUACGGCCGCAGGCUG